rnacentral:rRNA from 1 species
AUUGAACGCUGGCGGCAGGCCUAACACAUGCAAGUCGAGCGGAUGAAGGGAGCUUGCUCCUGGAUUCAGCGGCGGACGGGUGAGUAAUGCCUAGGAAUCUGCCUGGUAGUGGGGGAUAACGUCCGGAAACGGGCGCUAAUACCGCAUACGUCCUGAGGGAGAAAGUGGGGGAUCUUCGGACCUCACGCUAUCAGAUGAGCCUAGGUCGGAUUAGCUAGGUGGUGGGGUAACGGCCUACCAAGGCGACGAUCCGUAACUGGUCUGAGAGGAUGAUCAGUCACACUGGAACUGAGACACGGUCCAGACUCCUACGGGAGGCAGCAGUGGGGAAUAUUGGACGAUGGGCGAAAGCCUGAUCCAGCCAUGCCGCGUGUGUGAAGAAGGUCUUCGGAUUGUAGAGCACUUUAAGUUGGGAGGAAGGGCAGUAAGUUAAUACCUUGCUGUUUUGACGUUACCAACAGAAUAAGCACCGGCUAACUUCGUG